GAUGAACGCUGGCGGCGUGCCUAAUACAUGCAAGUCGAGCGAACAGACGAGGAGCUUGCUCCUCUGACGUUAGCGGCGGACGGGUGAGUAACACGUGGAUAACCUACCUAUAAGACUGGGAUAACUUCGGGAAACCGGAGCUAAUACCGGAUAAUAUAUUGAACCGCAUGGUUCAAUAGUGAAAGACGGUUUUGCUGUCACUUAUAGAUGGAUCCGCGCCGCAUUAGCUAGUUGGUAAGGUAACGGCUUACCAAGGCAACGAUGCGUAGCCGACCUGAGAGGGGGAUCGCCCCACCAGGACCUGAGCCGCGGUCAAGCCUCCUAGGGGAGGCAGCAGUGGGGAAUCUUCCCAAAUGGGGGAAAGCCUGACGGAGGAACGCGGGGUGAGUGAAGAAGGUUUUCGGACCGUAAAACUCUUUUAUGGGGGAAAAAAAAAUGUGUAAGUAACUAUGCCCGUCUUGACGGUACCAAUUAAGAAGCCCCGGCUUACCUAGGG
rnacentral:rRNA from 1 species